GUGCUUGCUUCAGCAGCACACAUACUAAAAUUGGAACGAUGCAGAGAAGAUUAACAUGGCCCUGCACAGGGAUGACAGGCAAAUUCAUGAAGCGUUCCAUAUUUUA
rfam:Canis lupus familiaris chromosome 7, whole genome shotgun sequence.